rnacentral:rRNA from 1 species
AUGUGACCUCAAAUCAGGUAGGACUACCCGCUGAACUUAAGCAUAUCAAUAAGCGGAGGAAAAGAAACUAACAAGGAUUCCCCUAGUAACUGCGAGUGAAGCGGGAAAAGCUCAAAUUUAAAAUCUGGCAGUCUUUGGCUGUCCGAGUUGUAAUCUAGAGAAGUGUUAUCCACGCUGGACCGUGUACAAGUCUCCUGGAAUGGAGCGUCAUAGAGGGUGAGAAUCCCGUCUUUGACACGGACUGCCAGGGUUUUGUGAUGCGCUCUCAAAGAGUCGAGUUGUUUGGGAAUGCAGCUCAAAAUGGGUGGUAAAUUCCAUCUAAAGCUAAAUAUUGGCGAGAGACCGAUAGCGAACAAGUACCGUGAGGGAAAGAUGAAAAGAACUUUGGAAAGAGAGUUAAACAGUACGUGAAAUUGCUGAAAGGGAAACGCUUGAAGUCAGUCGCGUUGUCCAGGGAUCAACCUUGCUUUUGCUUGGUGCACUUUCUGGUUAACGGGUCAGCAUCAAUUUUGAUCAUUGGAAAAAAGUUGGGGGAAUGUGGCAUCUUCGGAUGUGUUAUAGCCCUUGGUUGUAUACAAUGGUUGGGAUUGAGGAACUCAGCACGCCGCAAGGCCGGGUUUUUAACCACGUACGUGCUUAGGAUGCUGGCAUAAUGGCUUUAAUCGACCCGUCUUGAAACACGGACCAAGGAGUCUAACAUACCUGCGAGUGUUUGGGUGGUAAACCCGAGCGCGUAAUGAAAGUGAAAGUUGAGAUCCCUGUCGCGGGGAGCAUCGACGCCCGGACCAGACCUUUUGUGACGGUUCUGCGGUAGAGCAUGUAUGUUGGGACCCGAAAGAUGGUGAACUAUGCCUGAAUAGGGUGAAGCCAGAGGAAACUCUGGUGGAGGCUCGUAGCGAUUCUGACGUGCAAAUCGAUCGUCAAAUUUGGGUAUAGGGGCGAAAGACUAAUCGAACCAU